AUAUACGUAUAUAUUUAUUAUAAAUAUAUUUGAUUAUUUGGCAUCUUGUUUUAAUCAGUUAUUUUCUGAAACCUUUCUUUUUUUGUAGUUGUUGAUAGUGGACGAGUAUUACAUGUGAGACACUUGACUCACAGCAGUAACCUCAAUUAAAAACCAAUCUACCUUUUCAGACCGGUCUGAACAGUUACUGAAUUUCCUCAGCUCAGGUUUUCUUCACACCAAAUUCCAACAUCAAUAUCUGCUAAACUUUGCCUUCUUUUUCCCAGCCAAAGUUAAAAAUACAUAUAACCAUUGUUACUUGGCUAUUUGUCUUUUUUUUUUUAAACAUUACAGUUCAUGUAGUGUAAACUGAAAACAUGAGUUAUAUGUACAGUGGAAGUCCAACGUGACAAAAUGCAACAGUUUGGAGUUUUUUGAGUUCACUGCCACCAUACAGCACUCAUAUCUCAAAUGUUCACAAGGGUUUAAAUCUCAGAUGAGUCACCCCGUCACUCAAGGCAUUGCUGUAUUAUACAGUAUUUAGGAUUUGAGCAGCGACCGCUGCGAGGUUCCUAUUGCUUUUGUAGAAAUAAUUUAUUUUUGAAUGUUUAAUCUUUGCUACUUGUAUGACCAAUACAGUAGGUUUUGGCCAACUGGACUCUCGAAUAGCUACACAAGACAUAUUGCGGUGUUUUUUUUUGGCGAUUCCACUGUACAUAAUACUGUCAUGUUACAUCAAAGUAAAGUGUGGGGGGGGGGGGGGGGGUGAAACAGAAUGACAUGAAGAAUGAUUAAAAACUUUAGGUUUCUUGCUCUGGAUCUGCUAAGCCAGUCAUUUACAGCUUUUUUUGAGCCCAUGGUCAACACUCUUGAGACCGCUGGGUCAAAAAGAACCCAAUUUGGGUCCAACAUUGGACCCAGCUUGCUAGGAUGUUUUGUUAAAAAAAGGGGGUUAUUUUGUACAACCCAAAAAGUCAGUUCAAAUUGAACUACCUGGGUCAAUCCAAUGUUUAUAAUAACUCUAUCCAAGCAAGAACGCAAUAUAAGCAUAUAAUAUUUUACUCUGAAUGCUACUGUUAAUUUCAAUUUGAAAGUUUUACUGUUCAUUUCUGAAAGUCACGCGCUAAAAAUAUUGUACUUAUCUGUUGGUGUUUGAGACGCCAUGCAGGUGAGGUGCAUUCAUCCUCGCUGACUGCACAUAGAAGGGCAAACUUGUUAAAUUCGUCCUGCACACAAAUUAAUGAAGCUGCACUGAGCUUUCGGCCGUAUGUAUGUAAUCACUUAAGUCGUCAAUAUUUAAGUUACAUUUCAUUUCACAGUUGCGGACACUCACUACUCCCAAAUCACUCUCACCUCAUUUGACUCUUUUGGAACUAACACAGAAAAUGAGGAUUUUUAAAAAAGAAUGAGUAAAUGUAGACACUUUUGUUAUUCUUCUCAGAAAACGUGCCAUCUUUUUUCUGAUCUACUGACCUCAAAUCUUUGGCCUUGUUCUUGUACUGUUUGUUUGUGAACUAUACCAUCAAUAUGUCAAGCAGGACCUUACAGUCUGCAUGUUAUUCGUAUGAAACUGAGCCAUGAUUUUGCAAAAACGUACACAAUGACACCUCAUUCACGCUGACAUGGUGUGAUUACCAGCAAGAUUAAUCUGCCAGAGCCACAGUCUCUCAAAGCGUUUUUGGUGAAUGUUUUUUUUUUCUUUCCCUAUCUAAGCAGCAACAUAUGGGCCUUUGCUCCCUGUUCGACAAACUCUGCAGGCUGUGUUAUUGAUGCUUAUUUGUCAUUCUAAUGACUGUAAUAGUUCUGAUUUCAUAGCCUUCUACUGCGUCAGUGUUUUUUUUCCUGUGCUUGUUGCUGACACACGCGUGGCUGUGCGAUAACCUCCUGAGAGGUUGCUAUAGUAAGCCAUAAUUGCCUCAAUUAACAAUUGUUUGCAUACAUCCUUGCAUAUCCUCGCUUUGUAGGCACCUUUUUAUAGAUAACAACAGCAAAAAUAAAGCCAGCUGGCUAAAUGUAACUAAAACUGAAAUUAAUUCAAGCUGCUACAAAAUCUGUUUUAUGUGUGUCAACGUAAUCUAUGUGACAAGGCAUUUUCUUCUCAAUUAAAACAACAUUAAAAACCUAAUAUGAAAAGAA